GAUGAAGAACGUAUCGAAAUGCGAUAAGUAAUGUGAAUUGCAGAAUUCAGUGAAUCAUCGAAUCUUUGAACGCACCUUGCGCCUUUUGGUAUUCCGAAAGGCAUGCCUGUUUGAGUGUCAUGAAAUCUCAAUCCUCCUAGGUUUUUGACCUGGUUGGACUUGGACAUGGGCGUCUGCCAGCAAUGGCUCGCCUUAAAUGACUUAGUGGAACAUCCCACAUCAGUGUUAGACGUAAUAAGUUUCGUCUCUCCUUGUGGUGAUGACUGCUCAUAAUCUGCCAUCGCGCACUUUUGACUUUGACCUCAAAUCAGGUAGGGCUACCCGCUGAACUUAAGCAUAUCAAUAAGCGGAGGA
rnacentral:misc_RNA from 1 species